GCGAGAAUAUUCGACAAUGGACGAAAGUCUGAUCGAGCGACGCCGCGUGAUGGACGAAGUCCCUCGGGACGUAAACAUCUUUUGUGAGGGAAAAAGUAAUUGAUUGUACCUCAAGAAUAAGGGGCUCCUAACUCUGUGCCAGCAGGAGCGGUAAUACAGAGGCCCCAAGCAUUAUCCGGAAUCACUGGGCGUAAAGGAUGCGUAGGUGGCAGUGUUAGUCUUUCGUUAAAACCUCCGUGCUUAACAUGGA
rnacentral:rRNA from 1 species